UUGAGAUUGAUUUUUUUCAAGGCAACGCCCUGGCUUACUGUCUACCCAAGAUCUAUGCGAAAUCGCCACCCAAUUCCGAGAAGCUCGAAAGAAACUAGACAAAGUCAUCGCCCAAGCAUCCCUAGAGGCAGAUUGCUCUUCCGGUAACACUUUACAGCCGUGUCUGAAACACAACCGUCCAGACAACGGAUCUGAAUCCAAACCUCACAGGAGUUGCAGACGGGGACACGAGACAGACCGUUAGAGAGAAGGAGGUCUAACCGUGGCGAAGAGGUUAGGUACGAGAGGGAAAUGCAAACUGUAGAAAGAAGAAGCAAAACCAAGAGAGC